AAAAAGAUAAGCUAACUAAGCUAUUGGGUUCAUACCCCACUUAUAAAAAUAUAAAUUUUUUUCUUUUUA
rnacentral:tRNA from 1 species